ensembl:lncRNA
UCUAGGAAUUUUGAAGGGUCAGCUUCUGAUCUUUGGAGGACAGAAACGGAACGAUGAGUUCCAAGAUGGAGGAGGAGGUGCCUAGGGGACAUUAAUCCGAGUUACCACAGUGUAGCUCAGCCCCAGGGACUGAGCCUCCUUAGAGGGAGAGCAGCUUUUCCAAGCUGGUGAUUUCCACGUGGAACCUUCUGUGUUUAAAUCCCUGGAGUUUGUCACAAGAUGAUGGACUCUUCCCCCCCAGGGCCCUGCUUUCUCCGCAGCCUUCUAAGGUGCCUCUGGGAUUCCAGCUUAGAAAUCCUUGCAAGAGGAACCUGCUUCUCCUUUUUGUCAGCUUCUGAUCUUUCUGAAGAUCAGAUCUAAAUUGCAAACGGAAGACCGCCUAUUGACAUUGAUUUCUAAAUCAAGGUCAGGUUUACCCUUUUCUUGUCAUCUCUAAUAGUUUAUUUGAAAUCAGGUGAAUUUUUAGAGGAUGUGUGAAUUGCACCCUCACAGUUUUUAAAUUAGGAAGUGAUUAUUCUUCAUAAUUAGCUACAAAUAGGACCUUGAUGAAAUGAAUUCAUUGCGGAAGCCCCUUACAGGACGAUAAGCUUUUAACUUUUAUAAGGCUCUGAGAUCCAAAAUGAGUUUUCUCUUAGUCUUUCAUUGGGCCAUCAUUUGCUUCAGCCUCCUUUUACACCUUAGGAGACUGAGACCCAGAAGUGAAAUGUCUUUCCCAAAGUCACACAAUAAAUGGAUCAUGUAUAUCCCAUUGCCCUUCGGAUAAAAGACCCGCUUUUAACUUACAAUGAUCCCAGCUGAUUUUUCCAUGAUUUUUUCAUUUACAUAGGAAGAUCUGGAUUCAAAUCCUGAAUCUGCCAUUCACUACCUGGACGACCUUAGAUCAAUGAAUUUAGUUCCCUGGGCUUGUUUUUUCAUCUGUAAAAUCCCACUCUUUUUGUGACUUAAUUUAGGAGCUUAAUUUUGGGAUGGGGGGAAGGGGAGAAAAUAAACGGUUGGGUACUUGUUCUUCCCCUUCAGACAACAGAGAGAGGACCCAGGCUUCUGAGCCUGGAAUCAGGAUGACCUACAUUCAAAUCCGGCCUCAGACAUUUCCUAGUGGUGUGAUCCUGGGCAAAUCACUUAAUGUCUAUCAUCCUUAGUUUUUUCUAUUUUAAAAUGGGAAUACUAACUAACAGCACCUAUCUCCUGUGUUCUGAGGAUCAAAUGGAAUAUCUACAAAAUGGCUGGUAUCCAGGAGGUCCUUCAUAAAACGCUUAUUUCCUUCCUUCCCCUCGGUCCCAGCAAAUGUUACUCUGGGCCUUGUUUGUGAAUUAUCACCAUGGUACAAGCCUCGGUUUGGAGGAGAUACCGGUCUCUCACACGUCUGGGAAGAUUUCCCUUCAAAUUGGUCCGCUCUCCCACUACACUGGCUCUGUUCUCCCAAGGGCGUCUGGGUCACGCACACUCUAUCCGGGCUUCCCGAAUCAUUUAUUUGAUAUGAAUUAUUUCCUAUACCUAGUAAGGACAUUCUCUUCCAUAUUCAUCAGUUCCUAAAAUAUGUGAGGCACUGUUGGAAACCCUCCUAAAUCAAUCAACAGGCAUUUAUUAAUCAGUGCCUACUAUGCGCCGGCCCUGGAGACCCGCGUAAAAAAGGAAGAAUCCCUCCUCUCAAGGAAUUUGCAUCAGAAGGCGCUCCGUUCUCCCUCUUCAGGUCCUGUUCCUUCCUCCUUAUUAAUAAGUCCCGCUAAUUGUGGGUGUCAGCCCGAGGCUCUGUGCCGAGCACCCUUCACUCAACAUUAUCUCCGGACUUUCAUCAGCUCCCCCGAGUUCAAUUAUCAUCUUUAGGCAGAUGAAUCUCAAAUCUAGAUAAUAAAGCUCUCGUUUCUCCCCCGAGUUACCAUCUCGUCUCCUCCCCUCGCCUCUUGGACGUCUCCCACUGAAUGUCCUUGCAGGGCAUCUCAAAGUCAUCACGUCCCAGAAGAUUCCCUCCCUCGCCCCACCCUCCCCGCGGGGGGGGGGGGGGGGGGAGGACUUCCCGGCCGGGGCCGGAGGCCACCGUCACCCUGGCAGGCGCGCGGGCUCACAAGCCCGACUCCACACUCCCGGCCCACUCGGCCCCAUUUCCCAAUCUCCGAUCUUGGCUUUCGGGCUGUCUCUCUUCCUGGCUGAAUGGUUCCCCGGCCUCUGUCCCUCUCACUCCAAUCCGUUCUCCAUUAGUUACCGAGCUUUUCUCUGAAGCCAGAGAAAAGGGGGCGUCCCCCGUUUGGGACUUGGCCCUUCUGUGUCCCCGGCGUUUGGCCCAGUUCCCGGCGCACAGUAAGCGCUUGCUUGUGACAUACACAUUUGUUGGCGGCUGACAGAGGAGACCCCCCUCCCCCCCCCGAUUUCUCGUUUCUGAUUUCCAUUUAUCGCAGUUAAGCGGGGCCCCCUCCUCCCCCCAGCUCUGCCGGGCCCGCCUCUGGCCGGUGUUUCUGUAACCCCCCCCCCCCCCCCCCCCGGGCGAGCCUCCGUUUUCCUGAGUCUCCCGGGUAACUUAGCGCAGAGAAGAUGCUUAUAAUAAAUGUGUCAAACUGAACAGCUGGAAUCAGGCAGCGGCGCAAAAGCGGGGUAACUGACGGGGUGGGGGUGGGGACGAGAGGAAGUGAAAGCAGGAAAGGCACUUCCUGCCAUUAAGAGCCGAAGCCAGGCUGCCCCGGCGGGGGGACGGAACCAAACGGGGCGGUUGCGCUGGCAGCUGGAAGAGGCCUUCGAGGUCCCCCAGCAACCGCGUCUUCCUCUUGCAGACGGAGGGAGGGAGGACGCCUGGGAACAACUGCAACGGCGGCCCGAAAGGAGCGUGGCAGGAACGGGGGCGGGGAGACCCGGAUUUGGAACUAGGAGGACGCGGAGCUGGACGGGGCCGAGGGGCGGUGGUGGGUGUUGAAAAAAGCAGAGCCUGGCGGUGCGGGGGCCAGAAAAGGGUCGGGGUCGUGGGGAGAGCCCGAAGGGCCGGGCUGAGCGGCGGGAGGGGGCGUAUGUAGGUCGGCCACUGCGAACUCCCGCCCCUCUGCGGCUGGCGCCAGAGCCGCCGCCGCCGCCGCCGCCGCCGCCGCCGCCGCCGCCGCCGCCGCCUCCUAGCACAGACCCCCACGUGGAAUCCCCGGGAGACGGGGAGGGAGUCGGCGCUUAAAGGUCUCGGCGAGAGGCGCGGCGGUCGGCCCGUCUUUCCCAUUGGCCCAUCCGGGUAACGGACGGCGUAGCCGGCCAGUCCCGUCUCGAGAAAGACCGGGCGGGGCCUGCCUCAGUGUUAUAAUCGCGGGGGGAGGGGCAGCGGCACAGAGCCGCGCAUGCGCGUGAGUAAGCCUGUUCCGUGCACUCUCCUGCGGGGUUGUGCGAGGCCGCGAGGCCGGGGGCUUAAGCCCACGCUCCUUUCCUCCCCUGCGCAUUUAUGGACCUGGACAGGCCCUUCCCUUGACCCCCGCCCCGUCAGCCCCAGUCGCGGGCUCCGCAGCCCCCUGACAGCCACCCCUCAGCUUCCUCUUCCCGAGCCUUGGCUCGUACUCCUUGCCCGCGUCUGCAAAAGCCCUGGAUCCUUGGAAAUUGCCUUCCGCAUCCCCACCCACCUUUUCCUUAAUUCCCUAAUUGAGGAAACCGUUCCUGAUUAACUCCCCGGGGGCCUCAGCCUCUCCAGCCGCUUCGGAAAAGCCGAGAUGGAGACGCUAACCAGCCGGCCAAGCCGCAAGGUCCCGCCAUCAACCCCUCCCCCAGUAGUGAACAGGCUGCGGGUCGGAGACGCAUCGUUGUAUUGGGGUGACGGAAGGUUCCUACACAGUAGGAGGUGCUGAUGUCUCGGGCAGCCCCGAGAACCCUGUACACUAUACAUACGUACCCUGCCCCAAUCCCCCAAUCGUGGACGUCCCCAGCCUGGGGGUCCCAGACUACGGAGGAGCUGGGGGGAAGGGCUAAGGCAGCUUGGCUGGAGGAGUUACGGGUGGGCGCCCCAGCCAGCUCCCACUAAGUAGGGCUGGCUCACAGUGGUGGGAGGGGGAGGCAAGGCCUCCCCCCGGGCCCCAACCCCUGGAGUCGCGGGGCAGCGAGGAAAAAGACUACGAUGAGAGUCAAUAAAUAAGCCCAAGAUGGGCAAUAAGUAGGGAAGAGGAGAGGUCCCGAGUCCAGGAAGGAUGCCAUUAGUGUGGGUUCCGUGUCCCUUCAGUCCCUCUGGCUAGCACACCCUCUCUCCACCGAGUAGUGACCCUCAAUAGUUAAAAUGGCCACCAGGGGGGGCUUGAGAGGGGGAGGUCACAAGCAGAGGAGCCUUAGGGGGCAGCUGGGGCUUCUCCACGUCGACCCUCUUCAGGGCUCGUCCCCUGUAUCCCUCAGGCCGGCCGAGGUACAGAGGGUACCUUCCGUGACCCCCAGAAUACCUUGAGGUUCCCACCGAGGGGACGCGCGUCAGCAGGCCCGGAGGCCCCCGGUGUGGGGAGGGGGAGAUGCCUCGCGAACCUCCAAUCCCGAGGCGGGGAGCGGGGGCAGAGAGGGGGGG